CAGGUCCCUUUUCCAAAAAUGAAAGUCACAUUCUAUUUCAUAACACAAGCACAGAUCCACUUUGAAAGAAUAGAAUUUCCUGAUCCAGAGAAGAAUCCAGAGGAAAGAUAUCAGACAUUUAAAUAAUUGGAAAGAUAAUAUGGCUUCAUCAGUUUAUCAUUAGCAAUUUCCUCUGUCUAAGCAAAACUACAGAAGAAAGGAAUUCAAUCAAUCACAUGGUCCCUGGUGGAAUGAUACCAGCAUGGCUCAUAUCAUGCUAACCAAUAAUGUGGU